ensembl:lncRNA
UGAAUCUGUAUCACUCAUUUACCCCUCCCACAGGCCCUCGGAGGUGGAGGAGGCAUUCUCUUAAUCUCCUAGCUGCCAGAACUCUGAGUCUCCUAUGUGGUAUGCAGUAAUUGGGAGUAGAAGGUUUUAUUUCUGGUCCUCUAAGACCCCAUUGCCAUUAACUUCUUCCUUGGGUCAAAGGGUCAUAUGCCAUUAUCUAUACCAUUAACCCAAAUAUUUUCAUGGGAGACUACAAUCCAGAAGAGAUAGAAAACUCUAAGAAGACUUGUGGAGGAAACAGGACAUCAUAUUGACUAACAAACUAGGGCUUAGGGUUUAAAAUGGGCUCCGAAGUCAGGCUGCUUGGGGUAAAAUCCCAUCUUUGUAUAAACCUGGGCAAGUUAGUUCCUUUCUCUGCAUCUUGUGUCAUCUCUCUGGUGAGGAGACUAUCAGUACUCCCCUUUAGGAUUGUUAUGAACAUGGACGGAUACACUUGGAAAAUUGUAAGGCACAUGGCAAUUUUAACCAUUUCCACUAUUAUUAUGGGAUUUGGACUGUGCUAAACACAGACUUUUAACAAAUGGGUUAACAUUUGGACUCAACUACAUACUGUCUAUGUGGACUUGGACCCAUUGCUUAAUUUCCUGAGCUUGUUUCUUAAUCUGUAAAACAGGGAGAUUAUCCACUUGACAGAGUAGAGGGUACUAGAUGCACUUGGCCUGUGUUCCCAAAUGCUGCUUUCAAGGAGUUCAGCUGGGGAGACAGGAGGACAGAAAAAAUGAAUCUAUAAUAAGAAAAACCAGAUCUGUACUUGCCAUGGGGCUGUGAGAUAAGAAAAGAGCAGUGUGGCAAAGGGUAAGAGACAAACAACCUAGGAUGAGAUGCCAGCUCCACCUCCUUAUGCUGAGUGACCUCAAGCAAUGACACCCUCCUCUCUGACCUCUGUGAAGCUAAAAAGCAAAUGCAGAUGAUGGACCUACUGCAGUGGGAUGGUCUGGGAUGGAGCUGCUGGUAUUACGGCCAUCCUAAUUUUUGAGAUAUGGACAUGGCUCUGUGGAAAUCAUGAAAAUGUUAUAAGGGAGAGCUGCUGCUUGCUGGAAAAUCUCCAAGGAGAAAGAAUUCCUCAUCGCUGUCAUCUGCUCUUUGCCCAGGGGAAGCUAAAAAAAAAAAAAAUAGAAUUGUGCAGAGAACAAAGACCAUGUUCAAGGAGUGACUUAGGAAAAAAACCUUCUGACCUAAAAUCACAGGUCCAUCAAGUUUAACGUGAGGGAACCCUUAAUAAUCUUUUGCCAGCUCCCUAUCACCCACACCACAGGACAGAUGGAGAAACCAAGGCCCACAGAACACAAGAGACUUCCCCAAAUGACUCAGCAUGAUGAGCCCUGAAUGAUAGCUACAUUUCUGGCUUGCUAUUUCCUUCUGAAGACUUCUUUAGUGGAAGAGAUUUGGGGUGGAUUCCUGACCCUGCACUAACCAACUGUGUGACUUUGUGCUUCCUGGUCUCCAUGAGGUGAGCAGCUUUCUUCCACCAGACCCUUCUCCCAUGCUGUUUCUUCCCUGGAGUCAGCCAACCAUGGACUGAAAACAUGAAUCAAUAAAUAACUGAAAAUAAACCUUUCCUCCUUCAAGUUCCAGGUGUUGGGUACUUUGCGUCAGAGACUAGAAAGUGACUAAGACCUCUCCAUCAUUUUCUGGCUGCCAGCUGCCUUCAGUGCUAUGAGACUGGGGCACUGGCUGCUUUCAGCACCAGUGACCUUUGAUGUUACCAGGUCUUAUGACCCAAGACAGCGGUCACAAAUCCUGUCUAGGGUCAGGGAUUUAGUUCAGUGGUGCUGCCAUCUGCCUCACAAGUGCAAGCUCCUGAGUUCAAUCCCCGGUACAAAAAAAGAAAUAUGC